rnacentral:rRNA from 1 species
UGGGGAAUAUUGCACAAUGGGGGAAACCCUGAUGCAGCGACGCCGCGUGAGCGAAGAAGGCUUUCGAAUCGUAAAGCUCUGUCCUAUGAGAAGAUAAUGACGGUAUCAUAGGAGGAAGCCCCGGCUAAAUACGUGCCAGCAGCCGCGGUAAUACGUAUGGGGCGAGCGUUGUCCGGAAUUAUUGGGCGUAAAGGGUACGUAGGCGGUCUAUUAAGUCAGGUGUGAAAGCGUGAGGCUUAACCUCAUUAAGCACUUGAAACUGAUAGACUUGAGUGAAGGAGAGGAAAGUGGAAUUCCUAGUGUAGCGGUGAAAUGCGUAGAUAUUAGGAGGAAUACCGGUGGCGAAGGCGACUUUCUGGACUUUUACUGACGCUCAGGUACGAAAGCGUGGGGAGCAAACAGG